GUAUUGUAUUGCGUUAAACGCGGCAUACAUUCCAUAAGACUUUGUUACAGAGGGUGUGUAAAGACGUAGGACCACGACGGGAGGACAGAGUCCCCCCAUGCCACGGAACUACAGAGGGUGCACAGGUGUGAGUGGAUGUGUAAACAGAGCGUGCACAUGCCCCCGUUUGAGGGACCAGCAACAACUCGUGUUGACAAUUCGGUAAUGAUCCUUCCGCAGGUUCACCUACGGAAA
rnacentral:misc_RNA from 1 species